rnacentral:rRNA from 1 species
UAAGGAAUAUUGGACAAUGGAGGCAACUCUGAUCCAGCCAUGCCGCGUGAAGGAUGAAGGUGCUAUGCAUUGUAAACUUCUUUUGAACGGGAGAAAACCUUUGGUCGUGUACCGAAGCUGAUAGUACCGUUAGAAUAAGGGUCGGCUAACUUCGUGCCAGCAGCCGCGGUAAUACGAAGGACCCGAGCGUUAUCCGGAUUUAUUGGGUUUAAAGGGUGCGUAGGCGGAACAGUAAGUCAGUGGUGAAAGC